CGAGAGUUCUAGGGGCAGGCGGUCUGCCGUGAACCGGGAGGUUGCCCGUUUGAACCGAUGCUGCUGUCCCUCGGCGUGUGGGAGGUCCCAGGACGGGGUUGAAGUGCCAUCCGUCACCGCUGGGGUUUCCCCCCUCGUCUUUUCUCUCUGGCGUUUAUCGGGCACUUCCUGUGUGCUGGGCAUGCUUUGAUUUCUUUAGAUGCAUCAACGAUUAACUUGUUUAAUUCUUACAAAAACACCGAAAGGUCCAGAGAGCCUGAGCCACUUGGCCGAGCUCACAGAGCCGGGGGGUGGGGACAGGUUCGGACUCAGCAUGUCGGCACCAGAGCCGCCCUGGCUGACCCGGGGCCCGGGAGGCCUCCGCGCCGGUCCCCCCGGUGACCCGGUCCCCCCGUGACCCGCACGCGCUGUAGCCAGUGGCCUCUGUUGCACUUCUCGAGUGGACGCUUCUGGACGGGCUGGCUGCUGCUCCACUUCCUCCCGCGCCUCUGGCCUGGGCUGCGGAAACGCUUCCCGCUCCGCCGACACGCCCAGCCCCGCCGCAGAGCUGGCCGCGGCCCACAGCCUGGCAGGAGGCCUGCCUGCUAACGGGAUCGCGGCUGACAUCACCGCACUCCCGCUGAAGGUGACGAAACCGGGGCUCAGACAAGUGACGCGGCCGCAGGUCCCUCGCCCACAACGAGCAGCCGCCUGCGAUUAGCAUCCUCGCGUGUCCCUGGGGGUCUCACUCCCGCCGGCCCCUUGGUGGACCGCCUGUCGUCGGCAGGCCAGGCCAUGGUUGCUGAGAUUGCCUGGGGGCCCAGACCGGUCACGGACGCCAGCCCCUGGGAGGUGCUUAGCAUCAGAGGUGCUCGCUGAGUGACCUUCACGGCCACAGGAAAGGACAAGGACAGACCCGCCUUCACAGACACUGUCCCAGCUGCGUGGGCCCCGGGCCAGGUGGGCGGCGAUGAGAUGGGACAGUGGUCCCUCUGCAGCAGCUCUGUGUUCUGAGCGGUGGCCGCUGCAGGGUGGGUCCCGGAGGUGGCGUGUCUGGGCGGCUUUGGGUCAAGAAGGCGGUGCCCACGGGCAGUGAGGGAACUUGGGGAGAUUCUGAAAGGAAGAGGGAAUAUUAAAUCUCACUCCCCGUAGCCCUGGCCUGUCACUGACCAGCUCUCGGUCCUCGGGCGGGUGAUGUCGCUGGUCCAGCCUCGUAGCUGAGACGAGCUGCAAGGCGUCCACUCAGAAGAUGCUGUGUCCACUCCUGACCGGCUCCGCUGGGCUCUUCACACUCGUGCGUCUGAAGAGGCCGGAGGGGAGCCUGGACCUCACCUCUGUCCUUCCCCCCGGGGGCCACUGGAGUCAGCGUGGUGUGGCCCGGAGCUGAGCUGGGUUUCACGGCUGCAUCGCUAGUCUGAGUUGGGAGAACUGGGGCUGUUUGCACCCAGGUCCC